UCAAGUAUACGUUCUUCGCAUUUGUAGAAAUGCAAUCUGUAGAAAAUCAAUCGAUUUUUUUUAUUGGAAUAAUUGAUUGAUUAGUGAAUGAAAGUGUAUCACUACCGCAAAAGCGGAGAGUAGCGGCGGAGAAACAGCGGCUGUGGUCAAAUCGCCGCAUAUUGGACGGAUAGCUGCAGAGAUGACUGGCGGUCUGGUAAAUGACGCAAAACGCUCCUAGAUAGCGGCUGGGCAGCGAAGAUCGCAGCGAAAUUAGGAUAUAUAUCGUCAACAUUCUUCGUCUGACCCUAUAUUCUUGGCGCGCACCAAAGCAGAGCAGAGGCGCGAACCACACCCACCCCCCUGUGCCACAAUAUACCCGGCGACUACUUCCAUAAACGCCGCUAGAAACCCGCGAGUUUAUUUUAGCAGCGUGCCAACCAAGAGCAAGAGCAGAGCCGUGAACUUCAGCGGAAGAACCCACCCAGAAACCCCUAAAAUUUUCGAGCUAUUGCCUGUCAUCCACAAUUCCUGAAACCAUACUCUCUCAGCCAUUGUGGUGCAAAAUCCCUGACCUUUGCUCCACCUUGCGCUUUCGUGUUGGUCGUCGAGCCGCACAGCUGCCAUCAGUGCUUCUCUCACCGGGGUUGAAGUUGAUAAUCUCCCCCUUCACUGGUUCGUUCAUCCAUAUUGACCUCUUUUUCGUGUUUUCAUUCUUGGUUCAGACUUUUGAACAAUAAUUUGUCUAUAUCUUCUAUGUGUUGAGGUUAAUUGCUGCUGUUUAGAGUUAGGGAUUUGAUUCAUGUGACUUGAUCCACUAUGAGCAAGCUCAGCUGCCUAAUCAUUUAUCUGUUGUUGUCAUUACUUUAACUAUUUGAACAAUAGAGAGUUGAUUAUCUAGAUAGAUAAUUCAGUAUGAUUAAUUAGUGUAUUACUCUGUGUAUGAUCAGCAAGAAUCGAGUAUGAUGAGUUAGCAUAUUACUCUGUCUAUGACCAACAAGAAUUGAGUAUGAUUAAUUAUCAUAUUACUCUAUGUAUGAUUAAUUAGCUAUGUUAAAAGAUUAAUCUAAUUAGGGUAUACAUACAGCUGCACAUCUGUGUAUGAUCAGCCUGAAUGAAUUGAUCUGUUAAUAUUACUCUUAAGUAAUGAAACAAGGACACUUUAGAGAACAACAAGAAGAGAAAGGAUGAAAGUAACGGGAUCAUGUUUGAGUCCUCCCAUCCAAUAGAUUAUGAACACAAAUCCAGUUGGAAGUGCAAGCUCCAAUGGCCAGUCUCCUAUUGUUCUUGCCAAGAAGUAGGAAGAGAGCCUGUACAUUCCCAAAGAUGCAUUUGAUUUAGUUUUACCUGGAUUGGAUUCUAGCCGCAAUUAAUUUUAUUCUGUUGCAUUAACAAAGUGGUUUUUUUUUUCCAAACCUUACAAUAAUAAUCUAUUUGAAACACUU